rnacentral:rRNA from 1 species
ACAUGCCUACAACAUAGUGUUAAUGCACUAGAUCCCAUUACAACUCCACAGUUAAGUGCACUCGGGCUAAAGUAGUACUUGGAUGGGUGACCGCCCAAGAAGUCCUAGUGUUUUACAUGCC